AAUGAAAUAAAGAAAAAGAAAAUAGAAAUAGAAACAGAAUAGGCAAAACGAAAAGCAGGGAAAGAAAGAAGAAAGGGAAAGAAAGUUUGAUGCUUGAAGCUUAAAUAGUCAAUGUGGUACCGGAAAUCUCGGCUAAGAAAGGACAAGACAAAGUCAACGGGAGUUAGCUCGAAAAUUACGAUUUGUAUUUCUAUAACCCUAACUUAAUAUUUAGUUAUUGAAUUUAUUAUUUAUUAUGUAUGGUAGGUGCAUUGAUUAAAUUAUUUGAAAUAAAAUGAAUAUUGAUUGAAAUUGAAGGUGAAUUUAAUUAAUAAUUGUUGUAUUUUAAUUGAAUGUUAUGGUAAAUAAUUAAAGUAUGAAUUAUUAGUAUUGUGUUUUUAUUGAAA